GUCACUUGAAGAAAAUCAGGAGAAAGCACAUGAGCAAAUGCAGGUGGAGAGGCAAACAGUGGUUUUCCUGCCUUUGGAGGACACAGAGAGGAAAAUGAGGAAGAGAACCUGGAGGAAUAAGCUACUGGAGUUGUGAGCUAUCCUGGGGACCACAGAAUCCAUCCCCUCCCUUAUACAUUGAGGCAAAGACCCCCAAGAGCUACAGUGGCUUGACUGAGGUGUUCCAGCUGCAUGACCACCUGCCAGAAAUGCUGUAGAAGAAAUGCUACAAAUUAGGUACUGGAGAAGACUGCAAAAACGGCUGCACUUAUUCUCUUCCUUUUUUACAUAUCCUUUUGCAAGAUGACGUUGAAAUAGUUCCCAGUGAGAGAUGGCAUUUCCCCACUCCUUGAAUCUGGGCUGGCCUUACGAACUGCUUCACCUAACAAAAUGCAACAGAAGCAAUACCAGUUCUCAGCAUGCCAGUUCUGAGUCUAGGUCUCAAAAGGCCUUGCAUAGUUUCAUUCUCCUAGAAAUUUCAGAGACCCAUAUGAAUAAACCCUAGCUAGACUAGUUUUUUGAGAGAAUGCUAGACUUCACUAGCUAUGGUGAAGUACCAUAGCUAGUAGCCAUCCAACCUCUGGAAGCAGAGCCACUUAGCUGACAUAUAAGCUCUCCACAGACACAUAAGUGAGCUUAACCUAUAAAUUCAUAGGCAAUGACUCACACAGUUAAUGGUUGCUGUGUGAUUCUCAAAAGCACCGUCUGAGAUGAAGGGAAGAGAUAGGGAAUGCCUGAUGUCCCAAUCGGAACAGCCUAUGCCGCCGUCAUCUACCAGCGUCCCAAAGGCCUCUAGAGACUUUUUUCAAUGGACUUAGUGGUCAGUGUUAAUUGGGCAUCUUACUAUUCACCAGACAAUGGCUUUAAUGCUUUAUGUAAAUUAAUUCUUAAGCCUCAAAAGACCUAGUGAGAAAUGUAUUAUUUUUUGAAUUUAUAUGAACUUUAUUUUUAGACAACCUACAUGAUGUGUUGUGUGUUCCUCCCCUCCUCCCCACCUCAAAAA